UACAGAGGUCCCAAGCGUUGUUCGGAUUCACUGGGCGUAAAGGGUGCGUAGGUGGUGAGGUAAGUCGGAUGUGAAAGCUCGGAGCUCAACUCCGAAAUGGCAUUGGAAACUACCUUGCUCGAGGGUUGGAGGGGGGACUGGAAUACUUGGUGUAGCAGUGAAAUGCGUAGAUAUCAGGAGGAACACCUGUGGUGUAGACAGCUUUCUGGACCAUCGCUGACGCUGAGACACGAAAGCGUGGGUAGCAAACAGG
rnacentral:rRNA from 1 species